AUGGCUCAGGACGAACGCUGGCGGCGUGCCUAAUACAUGCAAGUCGAGCGAACAGAGAAGGAGCUUGCUCCUUCGACGUUAGCGGCGGACGGGUGAGUAACACGUGGGCAACCUACCUUAUAGUUUGGGAUAACUCCGGGAAACCGGGGCUAAUACCGAAUAAUCUGUUUCACCUCAUGGUGAAACACUGAAAGACGGUUUCGGCUGUCGCUAUAGGAUGGGCCCGCGGCGCAUUAGCUAGUUGGUGAGGUAACGGCUCACCAAGGCGACGAUGCGUAGCCGACCUGAGAGGGUGAUCGGCCACACUGGGACUGAGACACGGCCCAGACUCCUACGGGAGGCAGCAGUAGGGAAUCUUCCACAAUGGGCGAAAGCCUGAUGGAGCAACGCCGCGUGAGUGAAGAAGGAUUUCGGUUCGUAAAACUCUGUUGUAAGGGAAGAACAAGUACAGUAGUAACUGGCUGUACCUUGACGGUACCUUAUUAGAAAGCCACGGCUAACUACGUGCCAGCAGCCGCGGUAAUACGUAGGUGGCAAGCGUUGUCCGGAAUUAUUGGGCGUAAAGCGCGCGCAGGUGGUUUCUUAAGUCUGAUGUGAAAGCCCACGGCUCAACCGUGGAGGGUCAUUGGAAACUGGGAGACUUGAGUGCAGAAGAGGAUAGUGGAAUUCCAAGUGUAGCGGUGAAAUGCGUAGAGAUUUGGAGGAACACCAGUGGCGAAGGCGACUAUCUGGUCUGUAACUGACACUGAAGCGCGAAAGCGUGGGGAGCAAACA
rnacentral:rRNA from 1 species